rnacentral:rRNA from 1 species
AUGGGGGCAACCCUGAUCCAGCCAUUCCGCGUGAGUGAAGAAGGCCUUCGGGUUGUAAAGCUCUUUCAGCAGGAACGAAACGGCAGGUCUUAAUACGGCUUGCUAAUGACGGUACCUGCAGAAGAAGCACCGGCUAACUACGUGCCAGCAGCCGCGGUAAUACGUAGGGUGCGAGCGUUAAUCGGAAUUACUGGGCGUAAAGCGUGCGCAGGCGGUGACAUAAGACAGAUGUGAAAUCCCCGGGCUCAACCUGGGAACUGCGUUUGUGACUGUGUUACUAGAGUGUAGCAGAGGGGGGUGGAAUUCCACGUGUAGCAGUGAAAUGCGUAGAGAUGUGGAGGAACACCGAUGGCGAAGGCAGCCCCCUGGGUUAACACUGACGCUCAUGCACGAAAGCGUGGGGAGCAAACAGGAUUAGAUACCCUGGUAGUCCACGCCCUAAACGAUGCCAACUAGGUGUUGGGGAAGGAGACUUCCUUAGUACCGUAGCUAACGCGUGAAGUUGGCCGCCUGGGGAGUACGGUCGCAAGAUUAAAACUCAAAGGAAUUGACGGGGACCCGCACAAGCGGUGGAUGAUGUGGAUUAAUUCG